rnacentral:rRNA from 1 species
UACGGAGGGGGCUAGCGUUGUUCGGAAUUACUGGGCGUAAAGCGCGUGUAGGCGGUCCGGUAAGUCCGCUGUGAAAGUCGGGGGCUCAACCCUCGAAUGCCGGUGGAUACUGUCGGGCUAGGGUGCGGAAGAGGCGAGUGGAAUUCCUGGUGUAGCGGUGAAAUGCGCAGAUAUCAGGAGGAACACCAAUUGCGAAGGCAGCUCGCUGGGACGUAACUGACGCUGAGACGCGAAAGCGUGGGGAGCAAACAGG